rnacentral:lncRNA from 1 species
AACACAACUUGAUUUUACAAACUAGCGCAUUUUUAAAAUGGUUGAAAAACCGUUAUCGAAAAAGAUGUUAUUUUUAAUCUAAUUUUAAUUUAAUGGUUUUUAGGCAUUAUAUUCUGUGAUACUAAUAAUUAAUACAUUAUUUCUUUAUAUUCUACAUUCGAAUUAGAUAUUAAACUCUUAUCAUAUUAAUGAUAAAUAAAAGUUACUAAAACUUUAUUUGAUUUUCAAAAACUGUUGACAUUUUUGUUUUGUUUUUGUAUACUUUGUAUAUUUAACAUUACUUAUAUAGUAAAAAUUUCUAACAUAUAUAAUAUUUGCACAUAAUAUUUUAUUUACAAAUAGAUAAUGCAACGAUAAGUUUUUUAAAUACCCGUUAUUAAACUAUUUAGCAGUUUAAUUAAAUGCCAAUAAAAAUACAGAACCUUUUUUUUAAGACAUUCAAUUCAGUUGUCUAAGACAAUUGAAAGUUGUAUUAAAACAAGGUUUUUACUUAAUGUGCAUAAUAAAUUAAGUAUAAAUUUAAGACAAUUAAGUUAUAUUAAGACAAUCUCUUAAUCAUAAUAUAUAUUUUAUUUGUUUGAAUGUAAAGUUUUUUAGUUUGUUGUGGAACUAGACUAGAAAUUACCUAAUAAGCUUCUCAUAACUUGUGUAAUGUGUUUCUUUUACGAAUUUGUAUAUUGAUAUAAUCAUAUCAUGCUCUUCCUACAAUAUUAUAACUAACACUGACUCUCAUAAGUUUGAGUCUCAAGUCAUGAAAAAGGUCCAACUCUCACGUGUUGGCGGAAAGUUACCAAAAUAUGUUAAGGACUUAAUUUAGAGAUAAUGUUGCUAAAGGAUUUACAGUCGAUAAUCUUUCGAAAGCAGAAAAACUCAGUGUCAAACAAAGAAUACGCGAAUUAUUUGAGAUAUGAUUGAAAUUUGCAAAGAAAGUAAAAAUCAAACUAGUUUCAUUCUAAGUUAUUGUAUAUAAUUUUAAAAUUUUGGAAUAGAAGUGAUGCAAUGUUUAUUUA